rnacentral:rRNA from 1 species
UACGAAGAGGGCGAGCGUUGUUCGGAAUUACUGGGCGUAAAGGGCGCGUAGGCGGCCCUCCAAGUCAGAUGUGAAAGCCCCGGGCUUAACCUGGGAAUUGCAUUUGAGACUGAAGGGCUUGAGUUUCGGAGAGGUGGGUGGAAUUCCCAGUGUAGAGGUGAAAUUCGUAGAUAUUGGGAAGAACACCGGUGGCGAAGGCGGCCCACUGGACGAACACUGACGCUGAGGCGCGAAAGCGUGGGGAGCAAACAGG